AGUGAACGCUGGCGGUAGGCCUAACACAUGCAAGUCGAACGGCAGCACAGUAAGAGCUUGCUCUUACGGGUGGCGAGUGGCGGACGGGUGAGGAAUACAUCGGAAUCUACUUUUUCGUGGGGGAUAACGUAGGGAAACUUACGCUAAUACCGCAUACGACCUACGGGUGAAAGCAGGGGAUCUUCGCACCUUGCGCGAUUGAAUGAGCCGAUGCCGGACUAGCUAGUUGGCGGGGUAAAGGCCCACCAAGGCGACGAUCCGUAGCUGGUCCGAGAGGACGAUCGGCCACACUGGAACUGAGACACGGUCCAGACUCCUACGGGAGGCAGCAGUGGGGAAUAUUGGACAAUGGGCGCAAGCCUGAUCCAGCCAUGCCGCGUGGGUGAAGAAGGCCUUCGGGUUGUAAAGCCCUUUUGUUGGGAAAGAAAAGCAGCAGGUUAAUACCCCGCUGUUCUGACGGUACCCAAAGAAUAAGCACCGGCUAACUUCGUG
rnacentral:rRNA from 1 species